UCCUCAUGCUGCAAGUCUGUGGGAGAUAAGAGGCUGUGGGGGACAACCCCUGGGUAUGACCCUUUAGCAGUGUCCUUGCACCUCUUUGGGGAUGAAGCUGGGCUGGUGCCUGCUCACUUGUGCUGAACCUGCUCUGUUGUGCUCAUCCCAGAGCUACUCAGGGCCUGGUGCUGUAAUCACUUCCCUGGGGAGCCUGUUCUGGUGCCCAACCAUGCUCUGGAUGAAGAACCUUUCCCUGAUACCCAAGGCAUCAGUGCAGAAGAGGUCAGGAUCCAUCUUUUCAAGGCUUUCAGAAGAAAUCCACUGGAGACUUCAGAAGAACAACACACAAGACUUAUGUAGG